UAGCUCAAAUGACACAUGCUCCUCCCUCACUUAUUUAUUUAUUUUAAUAAGUAAUCUAGCUAGUGAUUUUGUGUCUCAGACUUGGAUUAUUGUGUUUGUAGGUGGAGAGAAAUCUUUAGGAUGACUAAUAGUGAAGAGACAGGUAGUCCGGUUCGGGAGUUGAUGAGCUUGAGAAGCGGUUGGUAGCUCUUAGAAAUCCAUGAGUUGAAGAUUGGAUAUUUGUGAGUUACUGAAUUUCUGCAGGGUAGUUUACUGUAGAUAUUCUAUCUCCAUAGGAUGCUACUCAUUUCAGCAUGUAUCUUGAGAUGCUAUUUCAUUGUUUUUUUCUAUGUAUUUUGUGGACUGCCAUGGACAGUGAUUCUCCAUCACAUUUGCAAAAAAUGUAAUUGUUGAACUUGUUUUGUUUUGUUUGCUAGUAAUUGGUUGGGAACUUGUUGGGUUUUGGCAAUUGUUGAGUGCUUAUAGAAUUGUAAAUUAUUUGGGCAGGAAUUGUAUUUAGCAGGGAAAAAAAGA